rnacentral:rRNA from 1 species
GGGGAAUUUUGGACAAUGGGCGCAAGCCUGAUCCAGCCAUGCCGCGUGAGUGAAGAAGGCCUUCGGGUUGUAAAGCUCUUUCGGUUGGGAAGAAAUUGCUUGGGUUAAUACCCUGAGUAGAUGACGGUACCAGCAUAAGAAGCACCGGCUAACUACGUGCCAGCAGCCGCGGUAAUACGUAGGGUGCGAGCGUUAAUCGGAAUUACUGGGCGUAAAGCGUGCGCAGGCGGUUUUGUAAGUCAGAUGUGAAAUCCCCGGGCUCAACCUGGGAACUGCAUUUGAGACUGCAAGGCUAGAGUGUGGCAGAGGGGGGUAGAAUUCCACGUGUAGCAGUGAAAUGCGUAGAGAUGUGGAGGAAUACCGAUGGCGAAGGCAGCCCCCUGGGUCACUACUGACGCUCAUGCACGAAAGCGUGGGGAGCAAAC